rnacentral:rRNA from 1 species
CAUAACCAUAAGUGUUUAUUUAUGGCUUCUUCUGCUCACUGAUAAAUAAUUAAAGAGCCGCAGUACCUUGACUGUGCAAAGGUAGCAUAAUCAGUUGGCUUUUAAUUGGGGUCUGGUAUGAAUGAGUGUAUGGGGAGUAACUGUCUCCGUGGGAUCUGGGGAAAUUGUUUAGGGAGUGUAAAUACUCUCGGUGAAAAAUAAGACGAGAAGACCCUAGAAAUUUUAGUAUAUUUUGUUGGGGCGACAGGGUUACAUUUAACUAACCUAGUAUAAUCGGUAGUUUAUAUAUAGUAUAAGUGAAAUUACUCUAGGGAUAACAGCAUAAUUUCGUAAAGUUUGUGACCUCGAUGUUGGACUAGGAACAAUUAUGCCUAGAAGGUAUUGCUUGGGGUUCUGUUCNAACUAUUACUCCUAC